GCAGUCGUGGCCGAGUGGUUAAGGCGAUGGACUAGAAAUUCAUCGGGGUCUCCCCGCACAGGUUCGAAUCCUGUCGACUGCG
rnacentral:tRNA from 2 species